rnacentral:rRNA from 1 species
CCUACGGGAGGCAGCAGUGAGGAAUAUUGGUCAAUGGACGCAAGUCUGAACCAGCCAUGCCGCGUGCAGGAAGACGGCUCUAUGAGUUGUAAACUGCUUUUGUACGAGGGUAAACGCAGAUACGUGUAUCUGUCUGAAAGUAUCGUACGAAUAAGGAUCGGCUAACUCAGUGCCAGCAGCCGCGGUAAUCCGGACGAUUCAAGCGUUAUCCGGCUUUAUUUGGUUUAACGGGUGCGUCGGCGGUCGGAUAAGUUAGAGGUGAAAUCCCGAGGCUCAACUUCGGAAUUGCCGCUGAUACUGUUCGGCUAGAGAGUAGUUGCGGUAGGCGGAAUGUAUGGUGUAGCGGUGAAAUGCUUAGAGAUCAUACAGAACAACGAUUGCGAAGGCAGCUUACCAAGCUACGUCUGACGUUGAGGCACGAAAGCGUGGGGAGCAAACAGGAUUAGAGACCCCAGUAGUC